UGGCUAACUGCAUGGGGAGGAGGCAGCCCUGGUUAGCCAGUCCAGACAUUUUAGACUUACCGUAAUUCCCACAGGCAUUCGCAACAUGUAGUCGCAUCGCCAGUGGCCAGGUUCACCUUCCUGAUAUCUACAGCCAGGAUUAACUGCAGGGAUUGCCUCAGUACAUAUCGCUGCGGUGGCGUCCGCCAUGUGGGCCCUGUCAGCAUACUCUCUUCUGCCUUCUGUACCCAGUCACGCUCAUCCGCCAUCAUGGUGGAUGUCAUAAUUACACAGACGUCAUGCCAGAUUGUCUCAUCCUCCCUAGAAUAGAAGGUAAAAGGGAAUAAAAGGUGAACUGAAACAAAAUCACACUGUGCAGAAUCACAAACAACUGUUGGUUGAUACCAUUCAAAUCUCCUCAUGGAUACUCUGGAAAAACUCCCUACCCGUGUUAACAUAGACUUCUAUUAAUAAAACUCCAAUCAUAUUCCCAUUCCUAUAUCUCCAAA